AUAAAAUAAUUAUGUUUUUGGAAAUUUAUUAUAAAUUUAUUUUACAUAUAAAUUUUAGUAUAUAAUUUUAAUUAUUUAAAUAAUAAUUAAUUUAUUUUUGUAGUAAUUAAUAUUAAAAAUUUAAGAAAUUAAGAUUUAGUAAUAUAAAAAUUAAUAACUAAUUUUGUGCCAGCAGUUGCGGUUAAACAAAAGUUAAAUUAAAUUAUUUCAGUAUAUAAUAAAUAAUUAAUUUAUUAAAAUAAAUAUUAAAUUAUUAAGUGAAAUUUUAAUUUAAUUAAAUUUUAUUUAAAAAUUAUGAUUUAAUAAAUUUUAAUAUAAACUAGGAUUAGAUACCCUAUUAUUAAAAAUUUAAUUUAUAAUACUAAAAUAGUAAAUAAUAAUUUAUUGAAACUUAAAUAAUAUGGCGGUAUUUUAGUUCAUUUAGAGGAAUCUGUCUAAUAAUUGAUAAUCCACGAAUAAAUUUACUUAAUUUAUAAUUUUGUAUAUCAUUGUUAAAAAAAUAUUUUUUAGGAAAAAUAAUAUUUAAAAAUUAUAAUAAAAAAUUAAAUCAGAUCAAGAUGCAGAAUAUAAUUAAGAAUAUGAUGGAUUACAUUAAAUAUAUUUAUAUGAAUAAUUUUAUUGUAAUAAAAAUUUGAAGGUGGAUUUAAAUGUAAUUUUAAUUAGUUUAUUAAAAUGAUUAAAAAUUAAAAUAUGUACAUAUUGCCCGUCACUUUCAUUUAAAAAUUGAAAUAAGUCGUAACAAAGUAGAGGUACUGGAAAGUGUUUCUAGAAAGA
rnacentral:rRNA from 1 species